GGCGGUACUUGAGGAAUAAGCCACGGCUAAUUCCGUGCCAGCAGCCGCGGUAAUACGGGAGUGGCAAGCGUUAUCCGGAAUUAUUGGGCGUAAAGCGUCCGCAGGAGGCCCUGUAAGUCUGUCGUUAAAGCGUGGAGCUUAACUCCACUUAAGCGAUGGAAACUACAGGGCUUGAGUGUGGUAGGGGCAGAGGGAAUUCCCGGUGUAGCGGUGAAAUGCGUAGAUAUCGGGAAGAACACCAGUGGCGAAGGCGCUCUGCUGGGCCAUAACUGACGCUCAUGGACGAAAGCCAGGGGAGCGAAAGGGAUUAGAUACCCCUGUAGUCCUGGCCGUAAACGAUGAACACCAGGUGUCGGGGGAAUCGACCCCCUCGGUGUCGUAGCCAACGCGUUAAGUGUUCCGCCUGGGGAGUACGCACGCAAGUGUGAAACUCAAAGGAAUUGACGGGGGCCCGCACAAGCGGUGGAGUAUGUGGUUUAAUUCGAUGCAACGCGAAGAACCUUACCAGGGUUUGACAUCCUGCGAACCCCCUGGAAACGGGGGGGUGCCUUCGGGAACGCAGUGACAGGUGGUGCAUGGCUGUCGUCAGCUCGUGUCGUGAGAUGUUGGGUUAAGUCCCGCAACGAGCGCAACCCACGUCGUUAGUUGCCAGCAUUCAGUUGGGCACUCUAGCGAGACCGCCGGUGAUAAACCGGAGGAAGGUGUGGAUGACGUUAAGUCAUCAUGCCCCUUACAUCCUGGGCUACACACGUACUACAAUGCUACGGACAAAGGGCCGCAAGCUCGCGAGAGUUAGCAAAUCCCAUAAACCGUGGCUCAGUUCAGAUCGUAGGCUGCAACUCGCCUACGUGAAGGAGGAAUCGCUAGUAAUCGCAGGUCAGCAUACUGCGGUGAAUACGUUCCCGGGCCUUGUACACACCGCCCGUCACACCAUGGAAGUUGGCCAUGCCCGAAGUCGUUACUCCAACCCUUGUGGAGGAGGACGC
rnacentral:rRNA from 1 species